rnacentral:piRNA from 1 species
UGAUAGUGCAAUGUGAUAAAGCAUUUCUAAA